UACGAAGGGGGCUAGCGUUGCUCGGAUUGACUGGGCGUAAAGAGCUCGUAGGUGGUUUGUCGCGUUGUUCGUGAAAACUCACAGCUUAACUGUGGGCGUGCGGGCGAUACGGGCAGACUGGAGUACUGCAGGGGAGACUGGAAUUCCUGGUGUAGCGGUGGAAUGCGCAGAUAUCAGGAGGAACACCGGUGGCGAAGGCGGGUCUCUGGGCAGUAACUGACGCUGAGGAGCGAAAGCGUGGGGAGCGAACAGG
rnacentral:rRNA from 1 species